AAACAUCAACAACACGGACGUAGAACUGAGAGGAAGGAGGGAGUUUGUUUUGAUUUUGAACAUUCUUUCCUCGUGGACGAAGCCAAACACUCAAGAGGAUGAAUAAUCACAACACAUGUCUAAAUUACUGUAUUUGAAUGCGUUUCUUUCUGAGCGUUUAACGGAUGUUUGGGGCAGUUUAGAAAGUGGUAGUUGAGUACCAGAUCUCCCGAUCUAAACAGGAGAAUGAGUGGCUACGAAGACUGCUAGUAUGGAUCACACCGGAGAUAAAACGAUGUACAUUAGGUUCGUUGCUAUACUCCCAGCAGCUGUCUCACCCCGUCUCUGAAGGGGAGGUUGGCCCUAAGCAGCAGCACUGUGGGUCCUCCAGUCUGGGGCAGGAGGAACCAGAGCCCACACAGAUUAAAGAGGCACAGGAGGAACUCAAGACCAGCCCUGAGGAAGUGCAACUUCAAGGGCAAGAGGCUAAUACGAAAUAGUUAAUUUCUUGCUGUUUGAAAAGUGAAUUCAGAUGAAGAGGACCCAUUUCAGUCCUUGUUUCUUCCCAAAACUCUGACUGUGGAGAACAGAGAGAGUGACUCAAAACUAGAGGAUCGAAAAUAUUUUGGCACUGUUACCCAGCUAAAGUGUUUCGACAUUCCCUCCAGAUAAUCAAAACAAUGCCUCCAGCUACAGCUCAGCCGUAAGCAGCAACUCAGUACGACUUUACAGCAGCGCACCAUUGGAUCCCGACCCACCAGUGGGAGAACACUGUUCAGAAUGUAGCACCACGUCUAAUAAAUCUCACUGCUGCUGUGACUGCGGCGGAGCAUUUGCUCUGAAAGCUGGCCUACAUAGACACGUCACUCUUGCAAGGGAGAGACCCAGCGAAUGCCCCAUCUGCAAAAACUGCUAUAAUUUCACCUGUCAACUGAAGGCCCAUGUCCAACUCUGUCAGCCUGCAAAAACCUGCCGUGCUACAGCUCUUCAGUACAACUAAGAAGAGAAUGUACAUCAACUACCUCCGAACACAGCAGUGCUGGCCAAAACUAAAUGCCGGGCACUGGUUGGACCACAUCUAAUCAUGCCAAAGAUACCUGCACAGAGGCAGCUAUUCACCAAAGCACCAGCUGUCUGUAGCACCAGUGGUGGUCUGGUUGUUCAAGUCCCAUCUGUCUCUGGACAGUACUUCAUGCAAUUUGUUCCCCAGGUGACGUUACAGACAGCACCCACUGUUACCAUAACAGCUUCAUCCGUGACCAUACCCACCCACAAAAUGGGCCGUGCCUAUAAAAGGAAGGUCAGUAGCAACACAUGCCAAAAAUGUGGGCAGUUCAGAACCAAGCAGACUGGGCACAGCCAAUGUAAAGGGGCGGCAGGUAGCCUAUUGGUUAGAGCAUUGGACUAGUAACUGAAAGGCUGCAAGAUCGAAUCCCCGAGCUGACAAGGGACUGUUUACUGCCCACAAGCAGACUUUCUCCAAAGAGUGGCUGGAGACAAUGUGCAGGUAGGAGCAGUGAAUAACUCUAUUUAUGUAAUUUAUUUGUUUUCUCAUAACAUUAGCACAUAUGUUUAAACUUUUUUAAAAACCUUU